GACGAACGCUGGCGGCGUGCUUAACACAUGCAAGUCGAACGCUGAAGCUCAGCUUUUGUUGGGUGGAUGAGUGGCGAACGGGUGAGUAACACGUGAGUAACCUGCCCCCUUCUUUGGGAUAACGCCCGGAAACGGGUGCUAAUACUGGAUAUUCACUGGUCUUCGCAUGGGGGUUGGUGGAAAGGGUUUUUCUGGUGGGGGAUGGGCUCGCGGCCUAUCAGCUUGUUGGUGGGGUGAUGGCCUACCAAGGCUUUGACGGGUAGCCGGCCUGAGAGGGUGACCGGUCACAUUGGGACUGAGAUACGGCCCAGACUCCUACGGGAGGCAGCAGUGGGGAAUAUUGCACAAUGAGCGCAAGCCUGAUGCAGCGACGCCGCGUGAGGGAUGGAGGCCUUCGGGUUGUGAACCUCUUUCGCUCAUGGUCAAGCCGCAACAAUGGUUGUGGUGAGGGUAGUGGGUAAAGAAGCGCCGGCUAACUACGUG
rnacentral:rRNA from 1 species